rnacentral:rRNA from 1 species
GAAACCUACAGAUAAAGAGUCGUGCCUGCCCAGUGAAUUUUUUUAACGGCCGCAGUACCCUGACUGUGCUAAGGUAGCAUAAUCACUUGUUUUUUAAUUGAAAGCUUGUAUGAAUGGCUUGACGCAGGUAAAGCUGUCUCUUUUAUAUUAAAUAGAAAUUAAUUUUUAAGUGCAGAAGCUUAAAUAGAACCAAAAGACGAAAAGACCCUAUCGAGCUUGAAAAUUAUAAUUAAAUUAAAUUUAUAGUAAAAUAAUUUUUAAUUAAUUUUUUUUGUUGGGGCGACAAAAGAACAAAUAAAGCUUCUUUUUAUUUUAUAAAUUUAUAAAUUUAUAGAUCCAUAAAUUAUGACUAAAAGAAAAAGCUACCGUAGGGAUAACAGCGUUAUUUUUUCAAAGAGUUCUUAUCGAAGAAAAAGUUUGCGACCUCGAUGUUGGAUUAAAGUAACUUUUAAGUGCAGAAGCUUAAAUAGUGGGUCUGUUCGACCCUUAAACCUUU